rnacentral:rRNA from 1 species
UAGUGGCGAACGGGUGAGUAACACGUGGNCAAUCUGCCCUGCACUCUGGGACAAGCCCUGGAAACGGGGUCUAAUACCGGAUACGAGUUUCACAGGCAUCUGUGAUUCUGGAAAGCUCCGGCGGUGCAGGAUGAGCCCGCGGCCUAUCAGCUUGUUGGUGAGGUAACGGCUCACCAAGGCGACGACGGGUAGCCGGCCUGAGAGGGCGACCGGCCACACUGGGACUGAGACACGGCCCAGACUCCUACGGGAGGCAGCAGUGGGGAAUAUUGCACAAUGGGCGAAAGCCUGAUGCAGCGACGCCGCGUGAGGGAUGACGGCCUUCGGGUUGUAAACCUCUUUCAGCAGGGAAGAAGCGAGAGUGACGGUACCUGCAGAAGAAGCGCCGGCUAACUACGUGCCAGCAGCCGCGGUAAUACGUAGGGCGCAAGCGUUGUCCGGAAUUAUUGGGCGUAAAGAGCUCGUAGGCGGCUUGUCGCGUCGGUUGUGAAAGCCCGGGGCUUAACCCCGGGUCUGCAGUCGAUACGGGCAGGCUAGAGUUCGGUAGGGGAGAUCGGAAUUCCU